UACGUAGGGGGCAAGCGUUGUCCGGAAUCAUUGGGCGUAAAGAGCGUGUAGGCGGCCCGAUAAGUCCGCUGUGAAAGUCCAGGGCUCAACCCUGGGAUGCCGGUGGAUACUGUCGGGCUCGAGUCCGGAAGAGGAGUGUGGAAUUCCUGGUGUAGCGGUGAAAUGCGUAGAUAUCGAGAGGAACACCUGCGGCGAAGGCGGGUUGCUGGGCUGACACUGACGCUGAUGCGCGAAAGCGUGGGGAGCAAACAGG
rnacentral:rRNA from 1 species